UGACUAGUGAAUACAUAGCUAGCAAGAGGUAGACGCAGUGAACUGAAACAUCUUAGUAGCUGCAGGAAGAGAAAGAAACAUCGAUUCCCUGAGUAGCGGCGAGCGAAAAGGGAAGAGCCCAAACCAAUAAGCUUGCUUGUUGGGGUUGUAGGACUGAACAUUAGAGUUACCAAAGUGCGACGUAGUCGCAACAGUUGGGAAGCUGUGCCAUAGAGGGUGAAAGCCCCGUAGACGAAACGUCGCACUCUCUGUUCAG
rnacentral:rRNA from 1 species